rnacentral:rRNA from 1 species
UACAUGGGGUGCAAACGUUGCUCGGAAUUAUUGGGCGUAAAGGGCGCGUAGGCGGCCGUGCAAGUGGAAGGUGAAAUCCCUCGGCUCAACCGAGGAACUGCCUUUCAAACUGCAUGGCUUGAGUCCGGGAGAGGUGAGUGGAAUUCCCAGUGUAGCGGUGAAAUGCGUAGAUAUUGGGAGGAACACCAGUGGCGAAGGCGGCUCACUGGACCGGAACUGACGCUGAGGCGCGAAAGCGUGGGGAGCAAACGGG